CCAGGCGCCCCCCGUAGUCCUUUUUAUUUUCAUAAAGUCCGCAGUAAUCUCCUUCACUUCUGAUCAUAGUAAUUGAAAUCUCUCCUCCUUUUUGCUUGGCCAAUCUAGCCAAAGGUCUUUUGAAAGAAUCAACUUUGCUUUCUUUGAAGUUUCUCUUGUUUUUUAUUCUCUAUUUCCUAAAUUUCUGCUGUUGUCUGUAUUAUGUGGUUCCUUCUGCUUGCUUUUGGUUUGGUGUGCUCUUGUAUUUUUGGCAUCUUUUUGACAGAAAGCUGGGUCAUUGAUUUGAAAUCUUGGCUCUUUUUAAAGGUAGGCAUAUAUAAUGAAAAACUUCUUUCUGGUCAUUGCUUUUGCUACUUCCCAUGAGUUUUGGUAUGCGGUUUCUUCAUUUUUGUAUUCUCCAAGUAACUCUAAAGUGCCCUUUUGAUUUCUUUCCUGCCAACUGGCUGUAUAGGAACGUAUUGUGUAAUUUCCACAGAUUUGUGGGUUUUCCAUGUUGUUUGUGUUCUUGUUUUUUAAUUUUAUUCCAUUGUAAUUGAAGGUCAUACUAUGUCUUAUUUCCAUCCUUUUUUUUUCCAAUGAUUUUUUACUGAAUUAUGUUAGUCACCAUACAGUAUUAUUUCCAUCCUGACACAAUUUCUUAAACAGCAUGAUUAAUUAAAGUAGCACGUUAUGGUCUGGUGUUUCCAAAGAGGCUCUCGUCCAAAAAUAAAAGGCUAAGAGAUCCAGGAAUGUAAUCCUGUUCCUUUGGUCACUUCAAAGAUGUGCCAGGAGACACUGAUCUGACUGCUCUAGUGGUGGCCCGUAUGUGUGACUUGCUCUGGCUCAGCCAUUGGCUUGAAAGUUCGAGUAAAGGUCAUGGAGGGAAUAACUCCUGAUAUGAAUGAAUCCUGGUGUCUUUUAGUCCUCAGGUUGGUAGACCAAAUUAUAAUUGCUCCCAGGAAAUUUUGCAUUUCACUGUUAUUUCAUUGUUUUUUUUAAUUUUUCCUUACAGUACUGUUUCCAUUCCUUACUCCAGUUUUUGAAAUAUUAAAUAUCUGGCUAUUUCCAAAAAAAGUUACUGAUUUUUUCACAAAAUCUGCAAAAAGGAUGAAGGAAAGUCGCCUCAAAGAUAAACAAAAGCACCGAGUGGAUUUUCUUCAGCUGAUGAUUAAAUCCCAGAAUUCCAAAGAAAUGGACACCCAUAAAGAGAGCCAGCGAGAGAGGGAACACAGCAG